CAGUCCCACGGGAAUACGAAGGGGGCGAGCGUUGCUCGGAAUGACUGGGCGUAAAGGGCGCGUAGGUGGCGUGCACAGUCAGAUGUGAAAUUCCUGGGCUCAACCUGGGGGCUGCAUCUGAUACGUGCGUGCUAGAGUGUGGAAGAGGGUCGUGGAAUUCCCAGUGUAGAGGUGAAAUUCGUAGGUAUUGGGAAGAACACCGGUGGCGAAGGCGGCGACCUGGUCCAUUACUGACGCUGAGGCGCGAAAGCGUGGGAGCAAACAGGAUUAGAUACCCGCGUAGUCCCUGUCUCUUAUACAC
rnacentral:rRNA from 1 species